CCAUAGCCCCGAUAGAAGCAAAAAUCCUUUUGCUUUUUUCUUUAAAAAGAAAAAGAUGGAAGCAAAUAGCGGGAAUAGCU
rnacentral:sRNA from 1 species